rnacentral:tRNA from 1 species
ACCAGGCUGGCUCAGUUGGUGGAGCAUCAGGCUGUUGAUCUCAGGGUCAUGAGUUCAAGCCCCAUGUUCGGUU